rnacentral:rRNA from 1 species
GCCUAACACAUGCAAGUCGAACGGGACUUCAUACUACUAAGAUUUCGGUCAAGGGAAUAUGAGGUUUAGUGGCGGACGGGUGAGUAACGCGUGAGCAACCUGCCUUUCAGAGGGGGACAACAGUUGGAAACGACUGCUAAUACCGCAUAAAAUAUACGAAUGGCAUCAUUUGUAUAUCAAAGAUUUAUCGCUGAAAGAUGGGCUCGCGUCUGAUUAGCUAGUUGGUGGGGUAACGGCUCACCAAGGCGACGAUCAGUAGGCGGACUGAGGGGUUGAACGGCCACAUUGGGACUGAGAUACGGCCCAGACUCCUACGGGAGGCAGCAGUGGGGAAUAUUGGUCAAUGGGGGAAACCCUGAACCAGCAAUGCCGCGUGAAGGAAGAAGGCCUUCGGGUUGUAAACUUCUUUGACCAGGGACGAUAAUGACGGUACCUGGAAAACAAGCCACGGUUAACUACGUGCCAGCCGCCGCGGUAAGAC